AUCACUUCUCCGCCUUUUGGCUAAGAUCAAGUCUUAGUAUCUGUUUCUUAUCAGUUUUUAAAAUCCGAUACAUCCUCUAUCCCAGGACAAUAUAUUAAAGAGCAUUUUUGGUAAUUCGGAGAUGGACUAGGUCCACAGGGGUCUUCCAACUUUUUAAACAGUGGGCCAGUUCACUGUCC
rnacentral:snRNA from 1 species